rnacentral:rRNA from 1 species
ACUAAAUAGAUACCCGGGUAGUCCACGCCCUAAACGAUGUCUACUAGUUGUUGGUGGAGUAAAAUCCAUGAGUAAACGCAGCUAAACGCGUGAAGUAGACCGCCUGGGGAGUACGGUCGCAAGAUUAAAACUCAAAGGAAUUGACGGGGGCCCGGCACAAGCGGUGGAUUAUGUGGAUUAAUUACGAUGCAACGCGAAAAACCUUAACCUGGCCGUUGACAUGCCACUAACGAAGCAGAGAUGCAUUAGGUGCCGUAACGGGAAAGUGGACACAGGUGCUGCAUGGCUGUCGUCAGCUCGUGUCGUGAGAUGUUGGGUUAAGUCCCGCAACGAGCGCAACCCUUGCCACUUAAUUGCCAUCAUUUAGUUGGGCACUUUAAUGGGACUGCCGGUGACAAACCGGAGGAAGGUGGGGAUGACGUCAAGUCCUCAUGGCCCGUUAUGGCCGAGGGCUUCACACGGCAAUACAAUGGUCGGUACAGAGAGUUGCCAACCCGCGAGGGGAGCUAAUCUCAGAAAGCCGAUCGUAGUCCGGAUUGUUCUCUGC